rnacentral:lncRNA from 1 species
UGGCCAGCCCAGAAAGGGGCUCCCACAGUGCAGCGGCGGGCUGAAGGGCUCCUCAAGCGCGGCCAGAGUGGGCGCCAAGGCCGAGGAGGCGCCGAGAGCGAGCAAGGGCUGCGAGCGCUGCCAGCAUGCUGUCACCUCUCAACAACACCAUUGACAUUUUGUGCAGCUGAAGGCAGCAGGCCAGAUGGACAAUGUGACUAAUGUGGAGUCACACUCCAGAAGGAGUCAGAUGCAUGCAUUCUGCUUCCUAGAACGAAAAAGAUGGAUUUGAUGUCGUGAAAUGGCAAUUCUAAAACUCAGGAGAUAUGUUGGUGUUUCUGAGCUCUUACUCCAGUGUCCACUUGUCCAUAGAAUCACCUUUCACUUCUGGGGUCAGAGGACAGCUCCUGGAAUGAUCUCUCAUCUUACGGCAAAAAGGUAAGAGAACUUGGCUGGGCACAGUGGAUCACUCAUGUGAUUCAAGCAUUUUGAGAGGCUGA